rnacentral:rRNA from 1 species
UAAAGAAUUUCGGUAUGGGAUGGGGAUGCGUUCCAUUAGUUAGUUGGCGGGGUAACGGCCCACCAAGACAACGAUGGAUAGGGGUUCUGAGAGGAAGGUCCCCCACAUUGGAACUGAGACACGGUCCAAACUCCUACGGGAGGCAGCAGUGAGGAAUAUUGGUCAAUGGACGAGAGUCUGAACCAGCCAAGUAGCGUGAAGGAUGACUGCCCUAUGGGUUGUAAACUUCUUUUAUAUGGGAAUAAAACGUUCCACGUGUGGGAUUUUGUAUGUACCAUAUGAAUAAGGAUCGGCUAACUCCGUGCCAGCAGCCGCGGUAAUACGGAGGAUCCGAGCGUUAUCCGGAUUUAUUGGGUUUAAAGGGAGCGUAGGUGGAUUGUUAAGUCAGUUGUGAAAGUUUGCGGCUCAACCGUAAAAUUGCAGUUGAAACUGGCAGUCUUGAGUACAGUAGAGGUGGGCGGAAUUCGUGGUGUAGCGGUGAAAUGCUUAGAUAUCACGAAGAACUCCGAUUGCGAAGGCAGCUCACUGGACUGCAACUGACACUGAGGCUCGAAAGUGUGGGUAUCAAACAGGAUUAGAUACCCUGGUAGUCCACACAGUAAACGAUGAAUACUCGCUGUUUGCGAUAUACUGCAAGCGGC